rnacentral:lncRNA from 1 species
ACAUUGCCCCAAUAAGUUUCAACUUGAGGAUGCUGCAAAGGAUCACCAUACACUUCACUUGUGCUAGUUAUCAGAAAUCUAGCUCCUACUCUUUUUGCCAGCCCCAACAUGUUCAAUGUUCCCAUCACAUUUGUUUUGUGAUCUCUAUCUACUUAAAUCAAGGAAUCUUAACCAAAAAAUAAACAAUCUCCAAAAUGUUCAUUAUUGUUUUAACAGAAAAGGGUCAAAAUUAUCCUCGAACUAUAAAAAAACACUCCACAUGGUAGUCAUGGAUGGAUGAAUUUUGAACUCUAUCACUAAUUUUUAUUUUUAAAAGGGCAAUUAAUAGUCAUUCCAAGUUAAUUUAAAAGAUCACAUGGAAACAAGUUAAUUAUUAGUAGUAAAAAAGGAUAUAAUGGUCUUGACGGGAUUAUACUUGUAAUGAACAGGAGAAGCAGGGCACGCCAAAUGAUAAAUGUGAUCAACUUCAAGCAAGAUAGGCUCCACCACAUCAUGUCUAACCAACUCGAACUUAGGGUUAUUG